GUUCGUUCAACAAAGCCUAUGAGGAAAUGAAUUGAGUUUUUAUAUGGUUUUUGGAUAAACACCGAAAAUAAGGUCUGUGGUAAACACAGGCUGAGGAGAUCUUAUACAGUUUUGUUCUAUGAGGUCAUCUUAAUCAGCUAACAUCACUUUUUGUGAAUUUUUAAGUAUUCAUGUAACUUCAAAAAACAUAACGCACAUAAAGGAUUUGGAAUUCAUAAAGUUCAUGAUAACUUACUGAUACCUCGUAGAACAAAACGUAUAAAAUCUCAUAAGCCUGUUUUAACCACAGACCUUAUUUUCGGCAUUUAUUCCAAAACCCUAUUCCUUCCCCAUUAAUUUUGCCCAUAGUAAUGGCUGAACGAACCAGAGUUACGUGGCAGGCUAUUCCUCGGAAGUCACUCAUGUCAGGCUUCUCCGAUGCACAACUGUGCUGCGCGGCUGUCAGCGUUGCGGUCUCAUUCAACACUGGAGACUUUGGCGCCAUCCCUGCGGACACCACUUCUGCCGUGAGUGCAUGGAUCAGAUCAUAGAUGAUGGUUUCCGCGACAUCGAGGGGCUUGGCUCAAGUCCCUGUCCACAGUGUAAAUCAGUUGUAGCCUAUUAAAUGUGUAACCGUGACUGUAUGUUAGUGCCUUUUUCUGAGUUUGUGUAACCUUUUCUUUUUCAUUGCACUUUGUAGUCCCUGCAUGUCCCUAUUGCCCAGGCAAUUCAACAGAACUAUGGUAUCAUCAAG
rnacentral:lncRNA from 1 species